CCAAAUCCCUUUCCUCCUCUCUUCUCUCAGAUGCUCCCCUAACCCUAGCCACCAUCACCAGAAAAUCCUCCAUCCCAUGGGGUUUUCCUUUGAUUUUAUGACCUAGCCGGCCUCCUACAUUCAUUGGUUGUUCGAUUUCUUCGUGGUUUGAAGGUAUCUCAAAGAGAUUCAACUCAGAGUCAACCUACACUCUUCAUUUUUUUCGAUGAACUUGCCUCGUGUCCAUCGCUAUAUUUGUGAGUACUGUUAUCUAUAUGGCUUGAAAC
rnacentral:lncRNA from 1 species